rnacentral:rRNA from 1 species
GACGUAGGGUGCAAGCGUUGUCCGGAAUUAUUGGGCGUAAAGAGCGCGUAGGCGGGUUGUCGCGUCGGAUGUGAAAACCCGGGGCUCAACCCCGGGCCUGCAUUCGAUACGGGCAGACUAGAGUUCGGUAGGGGAGUCUGGAAUUCCUGGUGUAGCGGUGAAAUGCGCAGAUAUCAGGAGGAAAACCGGUGGCGAAGGCGGGACUCUGGGCCGAUACUGACGCUGAGGAGCGAAAGCGUGGGGAGCAAACAGG